ensembl:miRNA
UAUGGCUUUCUAUUCCUAUGUGAGUUCUUUCUAACAUGUCAUGUAGGGUUUAAAGCCAUUGGAU